rnacentral:rRNA from 1 species
UACGAAGGUGGCAAGCGUUACUCGGAAUUACUAGGCGUAAAGGGCAGGUAGGUGGUCUGAUAAGUCUGUUGUGAAAGCUCCUGGCUUAACUGGGAGAGGUCAACAGAUACUGUUAGGCUUGAGUAUGGGAGAGGGUACUGGAAUUCCUGGUGUAGCGGUGAAAUGCGCAGAUAUCAGGAGGAACACCGAUGGCGAAAGCAGGUACCUGGACCAUUACUGACACUCAGCUGCGAAAGCUAGGGGAGCAAACAGG